ACGCAUCUCUCCCAGAACGCUCCACCUCCACCUGCAAUCGUUCCGCUAGUGGAUCCAUAGAGGUUUCUUGGUCAAGAUACGGAAGCGAUUUACCCCUGCCUUCUUCCACGUGGUAAACUUGAGUCUCCGCCCUCAACUCUCUCUCGUGCCGCUGCUGCCCGGCACAGAUCUUCUAGGAAUUUCUCUAAAGGGAAAAGUUCAUCAAAUACGUCAUGGAAACGGGUGUGAAUCGGAAAGGAGGCAGCUGGCCCUGGCCAUGGAAAACAAGGAUGAAGAAAUAUGCCCGGAGGUGCCAAUCGCGGUGAAAAGGAUAGAGUACAUUAGAGCAGAUACGCAAUCCCAAGGACAGCUCUAAAAGCUUGGAAUUUAAUGGCAACUAUGAGUUAGAGAUUGAAAUAUACCCACAUCAGUGUUGCAUCUGGAGAGUUUCCAGUCCUCUACUAGUCUCGACUACAGAAGGGAGAGUCAAGCGGAG